GCUCCAGACUCCUACGGGAGGCAGCAGUGGGGAAUAUUGGACAAUGGGGGGAACCCUGAUCCAGCGACGCCGCGUGAGUGAAGAAGUCUUUCGGUAUGUAAAGCUCUAUCGGCAGGGAAGAAAGAAAUGACGGUACCUGAAUAAGAAGCCCCGGCUAACUACGUGCCAGCAGCCGCGGUAAUACGUAGGAGGCAAGCGUUAUCCGGAUUUACUGGGUGUAAAGGGCGUGUAGCCGGGCUGACAAGUCAGAUGUGAAAUCCGGGGGCUCAACCCCCGAACUGCAUUUGAAACUGUUGGUCUUGAGUAUCGGAGAGGUAGGCGGAAUUCCUAGUGUAGCGGUGAAAUGCGUAGAUAUUAGGAGGAACACCAGUGGCGAAGGCGGCCUGCUGGACGACAACUGACGGUGAGGCGCGAAAGCGUGGGGAGCAAACAGGAUUAGAUACCCGUGUAU
rnacentral:rRNA from 1 species